AGGAACAAUGUAUUGCAGCCUCAUCUUUGCAAUGUCAGAGUUACCUAUGUCCAAUUACACCUUCAAAUAAAAUUAUACAGUAUCAGCAAUAGAACCAAACUGAGAGUUCUGCAUCAACAAAGCUCAGUCCUGUUCAAAGGUUCAGAAGACAAUGAAGCUCCUCAGCUAAUUCUUACAUACAAAUAGGAAUUAUUUACAUGUGGAUAUGGGAUCUCCACCACC